GCUUUGUCUUUUGUUACACAGAGUGAAAGAGAUCUUUGGUUUUGCCUUUGCUGACUGCUGAUCUGAUCGUCUCAAGUCUGGUGACCUGCUGCAGAAGAUCCUCUCUCUCUAUCAUUAUAAGCAAUUCUGUCUAUCCUAUCACUCUCCCGACUCUAUCUAAUUUGACAGCCAUUCUAUCUUGUAUCCCUCUAUCUCUACUGCUCUAUCUAAUUUGACAGCCAUUCUAUCUUGUAUCCCUCUAUCCCAAGCGCUCUAUCUAAUUUCAGAAUCCAAGUUUUCAGAAUCCAAGUUUUCAGAAAU